rnacentral:lncRNA from 1 species
GGUAAAGGGGUAUAUAUAGGCAGCACACAAAAUCCAACCGUUACACCUAAAGUGGAAAACUAGGUGGUACUGAUUCACACAAAGGCAGUAACGUUUGAAUAUCGGUGGGAUCGAUAUACACAUCUCGGUGGCACCGAAAACGUGGCUAACUAUCAGAUGGCCAAAAUGGGUGGCACCGGUACUCAAACUUGAAAAUUCCGAUUUUGUGUACCGAGGCAACAAAAAUUUGGUCACCCUCGAUUCGGUUGCACCGAUUUGGUGGGAACGGAUAGGGUU